AACGCGAAGAACCUUACCUACUCUUGACAUCCACGGAAUUUGGCAGAGAUGCCUUAGUGCCUUCGGGAACCGUGAGACAGGUGCUGCAUGGCUGUCGUCAGCUCGUGUUGUGAAAUGUUGGGUUAAGUCCCGCAACGAGCGCAACCCUUAUCCUUUGUUGCCAGCGAUUCGGUCGGGAACUCAAAGGAGACUGCCGGUGAUAAACCGGAGGAAGGUGGGGAUGACGUCAAGUCAUCAUGGCCCUUACGAGUAGGGCUACACACGUGCUACAAUGGCGCAUACAAAGAGAAGCGACCUCGCGAGAGCAAGCGGACCUCACAAAGUGCGUCGUAGUCCGGAUCGGAGUCUGCAACUCGACUCCGUGAAGUCGGAAUCGCUAG
rnacentral:rRNA from 1 species